CACUCCCCUUUCCUUCAGGUGUGUAGCAUAAAUCAUUGCGGUGGUAGCUAGUUAGCAAAGACGCCGUGUUUUUGAUGCUGUCGAGUGUAGCGUGGGCACACCGCUCUCUCUGUCCCUCUGUUUGUGGUUGAGCCACCGUACAGGAAAGCCCUGUCCAUCGGCGGCUGGCGUGGGGUCGGCUGCUGUUCUGGGAUGGUGUGCUGAGCUGGGCAAACUCAAGUGUCGCUGGUGAUGUUCUUCCACUUUGUGUCCUGUGUGGUUGACUGCUUGCAUGCCGCUUCGAGAGAACCAGAGGUAAUGCCGGCAUUUUCUGUAAGAGUUUCGACGCUUAGCACUUGACUUGUGUAGGGAGUUGUGUGGGGUGGGAGUGGGGGUGCUCCGCAGGUGCGAUGGCGGGACUGGCGGCGUGGUGCCUUUGAUAUCGCGCUGUGGUGUCGUGGUUGCACCUGUGGGAGCGCCCACAUUUCCACAAUACACAACUCCUGUUGAAUCGAGUUAUAAAUGCCGUUCCUAAUGGUAACUUUCUCG